rnacentral:rRNA from 1 species
AAUGAACGCUGGCGGCGCGCCUAACACAUGCAAGUCGAACGGCAGCGCGGGGGCAACCCUGGCGGCGAGUGGCGAACGGGUGAGUAAUGCAUCGGAACGUAUCCUGUAAUGGGGGAUAACUAAUCGAAAGAUUAGCUAAUACUGCAUACGCUCGGGAGAGGAAAGUGGGGGAUCGCAAGACCUCACGUUAUAGGAGCGGCCGAUGUCUGGUUAGCUAGUUGGUGAGGUAAAGGCUCACCAAGGCGACGAUCAGUAGCUGGUCGUAGAGGAUGAUCAGCCACACUGGGACUGAGACACGGCCCAGACUCCUACGGGAGGCAGCAGUGGGGAAUUUUGGACAAUGGAGGCAACCCUGAUCCAGCCAUGCCGCGUGCGGGAAGAAGGCCUUCGGGUUGUAAACCGCUUUAGUCUAGGAAAAAGGAAUGCAGGAUUAAUACCCUUGUGUUUUGAUGGUACUGGAAGAAUAAGCACCGGCUAACUACGUGCCAGCCGCCGCCGUAA